rnacentral:rRNA from 1 species
GACGAACGCUGGCGGCGUGCCUAAUACAUGCAAGUCGAACGAGAGCGACCGGUGCUUGCACUGGUCAAUCUAGUGGCGAACGGGUGAGUAACACGUGGGUAACCUGCCCAUCAGAGGGGGAUAACAUUCGGAAACGGAUGCUAAAACCGCAUAGGUCUUCGAACCGCAUGGUUUGAAGAGGAAAAGAGGCGCAAGCUUCUGCUGAUGGAUGGACCCGCGGUGCAUUAGCUAGUUGGUGAGGUAACGGCUCACCAAGGCCGUGAUGCAUAGCCGACCUGAGAGGGUGAUCGGCCACAUUGGGACUGAGACACGGCCCAAACUCCUACGGGAGGCAGCAGUAGGGAAUCUUCCGCAAUGGACGCAAGUCUGACGGAGCAACGCCGCGUGAGUGAAGAAGGUUUUCGGAUCGUAAAACUCUGUUGUUAGAGAAGAACAAGUGCUAGAGUAACUGUUAGCGCCUUGACGGUAUCUAACCAGAAGCCACG